rnacentral:lncRNA from 1 species
GAGAAAUGGCAGCUCAUCUGUGCGUGGAAGGGAGCAACCCAGACUGCCCUGAAAGGCACUCAGCCCCCAGGAUUGUGGUGAUCCUUCCCUGUCCGUCGUUAUGAAACAUGCAAAGACACCAGGUGUGGUAGUUGUUUCCUGGCCCUCUCAGGACAGCAUGAGCACGAGGCAGCAGGGUUUGGUGGUGCUGGGGGGAGACUGCUGUGUGCACGCUUGCUGCCCAGGAGGGACAGCCUGGUCUGUCUUAUGCACACACCCGUGGGUUGGGUUUGCACAGGACUCAGCAGCAGCAGGUGGUCUUGUCUCUCUCUAUCCUUUCCACUCCGCCUCCAAGUGGCCAGCCCAGUUUUCCUGGCAGUGUGGUGACCUCAGGGUAGUCAGCCUUCUUUCAGGAAUUCAGGGCCUCAGAACACCAAGGUGAAAGCUGCCAGUCAUCCCAAGAGCUAGGCCAGCAGGGCACGGUGUGCUGACCACCACACCUGUUCUUCAGAGCACCCACCCAGGCCCAUAAGUGGCUGUCUUGAGUCUGU